rnacentral:rRNA from 1 species
UACGGAAGGCAGCAGUGGGGAAUAUUGCACAAUGGGCGCAAGCCUGAUGCAGCCAUGCCGCGUGUAUGAAGAAGGCCUUCGGGUUGUAAAGUACUUUCAGCGGGGAGGAAGGCGGUGAAGUUAAUAGCUUCACCGAUUGACGUUACCCGCAGAAGAAGCACCGGCUAACUCCGUGCCAGCAGCCGCGGUAAUACGGAGGGUGCAAGCGUUAAUCGGAAUUACUGGGCGUAAAGCGCACGCAGGCGGUCUGUCAAGUCGGAUGUGAAAUCCCCGGGCUUAACCUGGGAACUGCAUUCGAAACUGGCAGGCUAGAGUCUUGUAGAGGGGGUAGAAUUCCAGGUGUAGCGGUGAAAUGCGUAGAGAUCUGGAGGAAUACCGGUGGCGAAGGCGGCCCCUGGGACAAAGCUGACGCUCAGGGU